rnacentral:rRNA from 1 species
UACGGGGGGAGCAAGCGUUGUUCGGAUUUACUGGGCGUAAAGCGUACGUAGGCGGCUUUGUAAGUUAGAGGUGAAAGCCCGGGGCUCAACUCCGGAAUUGCCUUUAAGGCUGCAUCGCUUGAAUCAUGGAGAGGUGAGUGGAAUUCCGAGUGUAGAGGUGAAAUUCGUAGAUAUUCGGAAGAACACCAGUGGCGAAGGCGACUCACUGGACAUGUAUUGACGCUGAGGUACGAAAGCGUGGGGAGCAAACAGG